rfam:Rousettus bat coronavirus isolate GCCDC1 356, complete genome
CUACUCUUAUACAGAAUGAGAUCCUAGUGUACUGCAGUAUAAGAAGGCAUUGCACUCGC